rnacentral:ncRNA from 1 species
ACAACGAACUGUGAGAAGUCAGCAGAGGCCAUAGUAGGUAAAGUCCUGAAAUGGAUGUUGCUGAAGGGC